rnacentral:lncRNA from 1 species
UAGCCUAGCCCAAAUAAGUUGCAGUUGACUUUGUCUUGCAUACCCAUGAAUAUAAGAAAACAUAAUUGCUGUUUUAAGCCACUGACCAGCAUUGGGUUGGUUUGUUACACAGCAUUAUUUUGGCUGAUUGAUACAUUUCAUACUGCAUUUUUAUUAAUAAUGAAACAGAUGAUGAUAAAAGAGAAUAGGAGAAUGAGGAUUAAUAGUAGAGAUGGGUUGAAUGGUAUUUAAAAUUAUAUCAACUAUAUUUGCAACUAAAGGUUCAAAUGGCCAUGGAGCUAUAAUUUUCUUCAUUCCAAGGCAUUCUGUAGAUUUUCUCCCAAAAUGAGCCUAAGCCAAUAUUUUUCAAACAAACAAAACAAGCAGAUGAAUAAGCAAACAAGCUAUAUUAUGGACUAUCUAGGGAGUGGAUGGACCAGAAUUCCCCAGGUGUGUGAAGCUGUGUGUAGCCUGUAUCCCUCAAAGCCACCCCACUCCUUUACCAAUUUUUGAGCACCAAGAAUGAAGGAAUAGAUGGGAACUAGAACUUGGAGAUGAAUUUUCUCGUAGUCUGAUUGCAAAUAUCUCUUUGUACAAGAAAAAGACUUAUUUAUGUUGCAUUAGGAGAGUAAAAAAUACACGUUACUUUUUAAUACAUGUCUUUUUUUUUUUUGCCUUUACACAUGAUAGAAAUAUGCUAGCAACAUUUUAUGUUUCUCAACUGGUCUUUCCAUAAACUCACCUCUGCCAAGAUCUAGCAGCAGUUCUGAGUAUCUUUCAGAGACACACCUGGAGCCCUUUGCUAAGGAAGCUGGAAGUAGUUCAUGGGCCUGGAAACCACAGAAUACCUUUGCUGGCUGCUUAGAGUCCCCAAAAGACCCACUCUUCACUUUGUGAGGAUGCAAAUCCGAUUUGCUCUCCUGAAGGCUGUGGCCCAGGCUCCCCUUCUACAACAGCAAACCAUUCUGUUUCCAGAGGGAACAAAAUAUUCAGAUUUUGAAUAAGAAUCCAGUUUAUGAAAGAUGCUGCUGUGUAGUAGCAAACCACUGGCCUCAGAGGUUGGAUCUUCACUUUGUCAUUUGCUACCUGAAUAACCUGGGCCAACUCACUGAACUCCCCACAAUGCAGGGUCCCAGUCUAUGUACUAAUGGGGAUGACAAUAUCUCCUUCAGCAAAAAUGGAUUAGACGUAGGGCUGAGGUGAUGUACUUUUGGCAAGAAAAUCACAGAAGCAAUGCUGAGUCCUUCUUGUAUCAGGAGGCACGUGACAUGGACACACCUCAUUGCUGUACGUUAAUUCUGAUUAUUUGGUAAAAGUGGCAUGAGCCAGGUUCCUCCACCUUCAACUUACAGUUUCCACUUUGUAAUUAAGAAUUGUCUCGAGGGGGAGAUUCAGUGAGGUCAUGCAAAUAUCCUGUUUGCACCACACUUCCCCCUACCAAUUUCAGCAUGUUGUUGAUCUCCACCUGCCCGUUAGACCUGAGAGUUCCUUAGGGCUUGGUGCCAGCACCUCCCGUCAGUCUCCAGCCCUCCGUGGGGAGGCUGCUACACGUUGCAGCUUGAGGUACCACCUGAGGAGAUGACUCCUGCAGCUGCACCUCCAGCCCCCUUCCUCUUUUAAGGACUCUGCAUGGCUACACCCGAGGCACUUCACCUCACCACCACACCUUGUGAUCCCUGACCUCUGGUUCUUCUCAACCUGGUCCUUCUCCAAGGUUCGCCUCUUUCUGAUUCAUCAUGGCCUGCACCCAAUUGCACGUAUUAGAAACCUGAGAUCUGCCACUGACAACUCUUUUAUCCUUGUCCCUUGCAUUGGAUUAAUCACCACUAUCUGUUGAUUUUGUCUUUUUUAUUAGUAGCCCCCAAAUCAAAACUGGUUAACCGAUU